ensembl:misc_RNA Metazoa_SRP Metazoan signal recognition particle RNA
GCCAGGCGCAGUGGCACAUGCCUGUAGUCCCUGCUAUUUGGGAGGCUGAGGCUGGAGGAUCACUUGAGUCCAGAGGUUCUGGGUUGUAGUGCGCUAUGCCGAUUGGGUGUCCGCACUAAGUUCAACAUCAGUAUGGUGACCUCCCAGAAGCAGGGUACCACCAGGUUGCCUAAGGAGGGGUGAACUAGCCCAGGUCGGAAAUGGAGCAGGUCAAACUCCUGUGCUGAUCAGUAGUGAGAUUGCGCCUGUAAAUAGCCACUGCACUCCAGCCUGGGUAACAUAGCGAGACCCCUUCUCUA